UUAUCAGUGAGGUUAAUCCUUACCUGUUUCUCUUGGAGAAACAGAUGUGAUGAAUGUAGGAGGCUGAGUGUGUGAUUACAUCAAUUCUCUGCACCACCCUGUAUGAUAACUUGGGGUGUGUGACAUUCUGAA